GGGGCGAUUUGAUAAAUCAGUUUGUGGCGGUUUUUUUUAAAAGUGGGGCGAUUAGCCAGUGGGGCGACUUGUCCUGCUUCCAUUUGAAGGCCCCCUUGAAGGUUUUGUAUGACUAUAUGAACCAUCUUUCACGUAAAACCCCCAUGUGCAUUUUGAAAAGUUGGCAGAUAUGUUUCUAACUCCAGGCAAAAUCUACCGGUAUGAAUGAAAAAGAAGUUUUCAAUUAAGGCUCUGUG
rnacentral:lncRNA from 1 species